rnacentral:rRNA from 1 species
GAUGAACGCUGGCGGCGUGCCUAACACAUGCAAGUCGAACGGACUCAUAUUGAAACCUAGUGAUUUAUGAGUUAGUGGCGGACGGGUGAGUAACGCGUGGAUAACCUGCCGUAUACCGGGGGAUAACACUUAGAAAUAGGUGCUAAUACCGCAUAAGCGCACGGCUCCGCAUGGGGCAGUGUGAAAAACUCCGGUGGUAUACGAUGGAUCCGCGUCUGAUUAGCUAGUUGGCGGGGUAACGGCCCACCAAGGCAGCGAUCAGUAGCCGGCCUGAGAGGGUGGACGGCCACAUUGGGACUGAGACACGGCCCAA